UGAGGAAUUUUGCACAAUGGGGGAAACCCUGAUGCAGCAACGCCGCGUGUGGGAUGAAGGGGCUAUGCCUUGUAAACCACUGUCGAAUGGGAAAAAAAGUUCCCCUUGGGGACUGGGAUUGUACCAUUGGAGGAAGGAUCGGCUAACUACGUGCCAGCAGCCGCGGUAAUACGUAGGAUCCAAGCGUUGUCCGGAUUUACUGGGUGUAAAGGGUGCGUAGGCGGGUUUGUGCGUCGAAGGUUAAAGACCAGCGCUUAACGUUGGGAGUGCCUUCGAUACGGCAAAUCUUGAGUGUUAGAGAGGUAUGUAGAAUUCCUGGUGUAGCGGUGAAAUGCGUAGAUAUCAGGAGGAAUACCAGUGGCGAAGGCGGCAUACUGGCUAAAUACUGACGCUGAGGCAC
rnacentral:rRNA from 1 species